UACGGAGGAUGCAAGCGUUAUCCGGACUGAUUGGGCGUAAAGGGUCCGCAGGUGGCAAUGUAAGUCUGCUGUCAAAGAAUGAGGCUUAACCUCAUCAAGGCAGUGGAAACUACAUAGCUAGAGUACGGUCGGGGUAGAAGGAAUUCCUGGUGUAGCGGUGAAAUGCGUAGAGAUCAGGAAGAACACCGGUGGCGAAAGCGUUCUGCUAGACCGGUACUGACACUGAGGGACGAAAGCUAGGGGAGCGAAUGGG
rnacentral:rRNA from 1 species